CGCCCAAUUCAGGGCUGGGUGGCGCGGUAAUGCGGGGGGGGCGAGUGUUAUUUGGAAGUGUUGGGCGUGAAGUGUGCGUAGUCGGCCCGGUAGGUCAAAGGGGCAGUCCCUCCGCUCAACUGAGGAACUGCCUUUGAAGCUGGCGGGCGUGAGGCCGGGAGGGGGUAGCGGAAUUCCCAGUGUAGCGGUGAAAUGCGUAGAUAGUGGGAGGAACACCGGUGGCGAAGGCGGCUACCUGGACCGGUUCUGACGCUGAUGCGCGAAAGCGUGGGUAGCAAACAGGAUUAGAUACCCUGGAGUC
rnacentral:rRNA from 1 species